GGGUUGUGAGGUUAAGCGACUAAGCGUACACGGUGGAUGCCCUGGCAGUCAGAGGCGAUGAAGGACGUGCUAAUCUGCGAUAAGCGUCGGUAAGGUGAUAUGAACCGUUAUAACCGGCGAUUUCCGAAUGGGGAAACCCAGUGUGUUUCGACACACUAUCAUUAACUGAAUCCAUAGGUUAAUGAGGCGAACCGGGGGAACUGAAACAUCUAAGUACCCCGAGGAAAAGAAAUCAACCGAGAUUCCCCCAGUAGCGGCGAGCGAACGGGGAGCAGCCCAGAGCCUGAAUCAGUGUGUGUGUUAGUGGAAGCGUCUGGAAAGGCGCGCGAUACAGGGUGACAGCCCCGUACACAAAAAUGCACAUGCUGUGAGCUCGAUGAGUAGGGCGGGACACGUGGUAUCCUGUCUGAAUAUGGGGGGACCAUCCUCCAAGGCUAAAUACUCCUGACUGACCGAUAGUGAACCAGUACCGUGAGGGAAAGGCGAAAAGAACCCCGGCGAGGGGAGUGAAAAAGAACCUGAAACCGUGUACGUACAAGCAGUGGGAGCACGCUUAGGCGUGUGACUGCGUACCUUUUGUAUAAUGGGUCAGCGACUUAUAUUCUGUAGCAAGGUUAACCGAAUAGGGGAGCCGAAGGGAAACCGAGUCUUAACUGGGCGUUAAGUUGCAGGGUAUAGACCCGAAACCCGGUGAUCUAGCCAUGGGCAGGUUGAAGGUUGGGUAACACUAACUGGAGGACCGAACCGACUAAUGUUGAAAAAUUAGCGGAUGACUUGUGGCUGGGGGUGAAAGGCCAAUCAAACCGGGAGAUAGCUGGUUCUCCCCGAAAGCUAUUUAGGUAGCGCCUCGUGAAUUCAUCUCCGGGGGUAGAGCACUGUUUCGGCAAGGGGGUCAUCCCGACUUACCAACCCGAUGCAAACUGCGAAUACCGGAGAAUGUUAUCACGGGAGACACACGGCGGGUGCUAACGUCCGUCGUGAAGAGGGAAACAACCCAGACCGCCAGCUAAGGUCCCAAAGUCAUGGUUAAGUGGGAAACGAUGUGGGAAGGCCCAGACAGCCAGGAUGUUGGCUUAGAAGCAGCCAUCAUUUAAAGAAAGCGUAAUAGCUCACUGGUCGAGUCGGCCUGCGCGGAAGAUGUAACGGGGCUAAACCAUGCACCGAAGCUGCGGCAGCGACGCUUAUGCGUUGUUGGGUAGGGGAGCGUUCUGUAAGCCUGCGAAGGUGUGCUGUGAGGCAUGCUGGAGGUAUCAGAAGUGCGAAUGCUGACAUAAGUAACGAUAAAGCGGGUGAAAAGCCCGCUCGCCGGAAGACCAAGGGUUCCUGUCCAACGUUAAUCGGGGCAGGGUGAGUCGACCCCUAAGGCGAGGCCGAAAGGCGUAGUCGAUGGGAAACAGGUUAAUAUUCCUGUACUUGGUGUUACUGCGAAGGGGGGACGGAGAAGGCUAUGUUGGCCGGGCGACGGUUGUCCCGGUUUAAGCGUGUAGGCUGGUUUUCCAGGCAAAUCCGGAAAAUCAAGGCUGAGGCGUGAUGACGAGGUACUACGGUGCUGAAGCAACAAAUGCCCUGCUUCCAGGAAAAGCCUCUAAGCAUCAGGUAACAUCAAAUCGUACCCCAAACCGACACAGGUGGUCAGGUAGAGAAUACCAAGGCGCUUGAGAGAACUCGGGUGAAGGAACUAGGCAAAAUGGUGCCGUAACUUCGGGAGAAGGCACGCUGAUAUGUAGGUGAAGUCCCUUGCGGAUGGAGCUGAAAUCAGUCGAAGAUACCAGCUGGCUGCAACUGUUUAUUAAAAACACAGCACUGUGCAAACACGAAAGUGGACGUAUACGGUGUGACGCCUGCCCGGUGCCGGAAGGUUAAUUGAUGGGGUUAGCGCAAGCGAAGCUCUUGAUCGAAGCCCCGGUAAACGGCGGCCGUAACUAUAACGGUCCUAAGGUAGCGAAAUUCCUUGUCGGGUAAGUUCCGACCUGCACGAAUGGCGUAAUGAUGGCCAGGCUGUCUCCACCCGAGACUCAGUGAAAUUGAACUCGCUGUGAAGAUGCAGUGUACCCGCGGCAAGACGGAAAGACCCCGUGAACCUUUACUAUAGCUUGACACUGAACAUUGAGCCUUGAUGUGUAGGAUAGGUGGGAGGCUUUGAAGUGUGGACGCCAGUCUGCAUGGAGCCGACCUUGAAAUACCACCCUUUAAUGUUUGAUGUUCUAACGUUGACCCGUAAUCCGGGUUGCGGACAGUGUCUGGUGGGUAGUUUGACUGGGGCGGUCUCCUCCUAAAGAGUAACGGAGGAGCACGAAGGUUGGCUAAUCCUGGUCGGACAUCAGGAGGUUAGUGCAAUGGCAUAAGCCAGCUUGACUGCGAGCGUGACGGCGCGAGCAGGUGCGAAAGCAGGUCAUAGUGAUCCGGUGGUUCUGAAUGGAAGGGCCAUCGCUCAACGGAUAAAAGGUACUCCGGGGAUAACAGGCUGAUACCGCCCAAGAGUUCAUAUCGACGGCGGUGUUUGGCACCUCGAUGUCGGCUCAUCACAUCCUGGGGCUGAAGUAGGUCCCAAGGGUAUGGCUGUUCGCCAUUUAAAGUGGUACGCGAGCUGGGUUUAGAACGUCGUGAGACAGUUCGGUCCCUAUCUGCCGUGGGCGCUGGAGAACUGAGGGGGGCUGCUCCUAGUACGAGAGGACCGGAGUGGACGCAUCACUGGUGUUCGGGUUGUCAUGCCAAUGGCACUGCCCGGUAGCUAAAUGCGGAAGAGAUAAGUGCUGAAAGCAUCUAAGCACGAAACUUGCCCCGAGAUGAGUUCUCCCUGACCCUUUAAGGGUCCUGAAGGAACGUUGAAGACGACGACGUUGAUAGGCCGGGUGUGUAAGCGCAGCGAUGCGUUGAGCUAACCGGUACUAAUGAACCGUGAGGCUUAACCUUACAACGCCGAAGCUGUU
rnacentral:rRNA from 1 species